GUGCUCACUUUGGCAGCAUAUAUACUAAAAUUGGGACAAUACAUAGAAGAUUAGCAUGGCUCCUGUGCAAGGAUGACAUGCAAAUUCAUGAAGCAUUCCAUAUUUUU